rnacentral:rRNA from 1 species
CNNAAUGGGAGGGAAACGAAUGUGNGCCAUGAAGGACUCYCUUCAGGUUCAGGGAGCCUCGGUUUGGGCGUUUGCGCGGUGGGGGACCCGCGGUCGGGCCCCGCCGGCGCAAGUCCUUCCAGGMUUCUGCAAUCCCGUYUGGAGUCCSCCAACGGCGGCCGUUGGCGGUYGAGGAGGGUCSUGGGGUAGGUGCCUYUUCGCCGAGCCCUCGCGGGUUUGGGGAGGAGAGCUUACASCCCUSGKYUCGRUGGACCSCGAMCGSCCGAGGAGCGUUGYGMCCAUUCKCACGGSGUAGCGCAGCCCCCCCMCAAGGGAGGSCGGGUCGCUUCUGCACUUGCGUGCCUCGCGGCGAGCCACUGCUCGCAGUGACAGCUGACGGKAGGUGCGCUUGAGCGGGAGGSGGGCCACGAUUUGCGCUUCGGUCGUUGGUGCACGUAUGGCUCCMUCCGACCCGUCUUGAAACACGGACCAAGGAGUGCAAGAGGCGUGCGAGUCUUUGGGUUGAGAAACCCUCGGGCGGAAUGAAAGUGAAGGGGGCACCCGUCCCCGAGGCGAGAGCCCRCCCCGUGCGGGCCCAUCGUCSACCGAUCCCAGGSUMCGMUGUGGCGGGAUUCGAGUGAGAGCGUGCCUGUUGCCACCCGAAAGAUGGUGAACUAUGCCUGAA